rnacentral:rRNA from 1 species
UACCAGACUCCUACGGGAGGCAGCAGUGGGGGAUAUUGCACAAUGGGGGAAACCCUGAUGCAGCGACGCCGCGUGAGUGAAGAAGUAUUUCGGUAUGUAAAGCUCUAUCAGCAGGGAAGAAAAUGACGGUACCUGACUAAGAAGCCCCGGCUAACUACGUGCCAGCAGCCGCGGUAAUACGUAGGGGGCAAGCGUUAUCCGGAUUUACUGGGUGUAAAGGGAGCGCAGACGGCUGUGCAAGUCUGGAGUGAAAGGCGGGGGCCCAACCCCCGGACUGCUCUGGAAACUGUAAAGCUGGAGUGCAGGAGAGGUAAGCGGAAUUCCUAGUGUAGCGGUGAAAUGCGUAGAUAUUAGGAGGAACACCAGUGGCGAAGGCGGCCUGCUGGACGGUGACUGACGCUGAGGCUCGAAAGCGUGGGGAUCAAACAGGAUUAGAUACCCGUGUAC